UAUAAUUAUUUUCAAUUUAAAUAUAGUUAUUAGCAAGGUUUAGUCCCACAUCGUAAUUAUUUUCAAUGUAACAUCUCUUUUAUGAAUCCGUCGAUCGGCGACGUUGUUGUCUCUUCGGAGACAUCCGAUAAAAUUGGAACGUUACAGAGAAGAUUUGUAUGGCCCCUGCGCAUGGAUGACGCGCACAAAUCGAGAAAUGGUCCAAAUUUUUUUUCCGAUUCGCGUUCUCUUGUUCUCCAUUUGAUUUCCUAUCCUUUUGCCCUUCCUUCUCUGAUUUGAUUUCCCAGCCUCCUCCCCUCUUCCUGGUUCUUCUGAUUCGAUUUUUGUUUUUGGUUUCUUUCUUAUUGGCUGCUACAAUCUGGUUCUUUAUGAUUUAGGGUUUUGUGCUCCGUUUUUUCCCAAAUCGAGUCGACUCGCUUUCAUUUUUUGUUUCUUAUUGGCUGUUAAUCUGGUUCUUUAGGAUUUAGGGUUCUGUGCUCCUUUUUCUCCCAUUUGUGUUCUUAUUUUGGUUUGUUUUCCAUUUCUUUUUCUUUUUUCUGCUGAAUUUUUUUCUGGCUCGCUCUUAGUAGUGUUUUGUCUCCUUUGUGGUUUUUAAUCAAGUUCUCGUUUCUAUUUCUCUCUCUCUCUCUCUCGAUUUGUUUUGAUUCUUCUCCGGUUCUGGAAACCUGAGGACAUGGAUGGAUGGACUUCUGAGUUCGCUUCGCUUUAGAUCACAGCACCAUUCUUUACUCGCAUAACGAGCAACGUUAUCAGUUACGGCGCCGGCUGAAUUGUUUUUUAUGUUAUCGACGGAUACUCUACUCUUCUUCGUGACUUGUUCGACUUCUGCACUCCCAUGAAUACUUGCUUCUGGUCGAAGACGGCGUUAUGUGUUGAUGGUAUUCGGACCUCUGAUUAACAUUCAAUAUUGGCUCUGCUGUAGCCUAUUAGAGAGGUAGCAGGUUCAGCACCAAGAAAUGGUUUCCAUCUGUGUGCCAUUGACAACCUAGAAACUUCAACUCAUAGGAUGAAGAUGAAGCAUGACACGAGUGCCAUGCCCUUAACGAUCCAUCAUGAACUGAAAGGACGUGAUAGCUUUUAACAAUCUGAUGGUCUUGAUACAUGUGAAUUAAAGAGUUGCUCACAGCAUUGUAUGUCAACGGAAGAAAGUUGAAGAGCGAAAAGAAGGCAGUUUGAUCUAUUCCAUUGUCCAAAUGGUUUCAAAAUCAAGGAAGGUUUUCUGAAGCAUUCUAGACAAAAUCUAGUGAAGUAAGGUGCUUAGAUAAAUCUUGCUGCAUGCAACCAGUGUAGGUGUUGCGCUAUCUUCUGCCAGCACAAUGUCAGGACAGGCCAGUAAACAGAGCACUAGGUUGGCACAAGCUUCUAGUGUCGGUCAUCUCUGUUCCCUCGGUGUCUUGGCACUAGGACAUGCCAAUGACACUGUGGGCUAUAUAACACGCUAUGCUGCUCGGAUUCAGCAACUUUAUACAUAAGUUCAGUCCAUGGAUUGCUUCAUGACUACAUCCAUUUUAACCAUGAUCUUUCACUGUAUUUAGCUUAUGCCAAUCCUGACUAUCACAUAUCAGAGGUCUAUGAUUUGAUCACAUAGCCAGAAGAGCCUCUCAUCUUAUACGUAUGAAAUGCCAGCACACUUGUACCGACCAUGCAGUGUCGUGCAUGUCGAAGAGCACUAAUUGCAUCAUUUGAUGCUGAAAUUACACUCAAUAUUGGUUGCGAAACAUACGAGGCAAAACUCUGUGCUACAGCAUAUCGACUGUUAUUACUGUCAAGUGAUUGGCAGCACCUAUUUUUCUGGAAUUUGAAAGGAAAAUGAUGCUUAUUCCAGCUUCUUUUUGUCUAAUCCAGCUUCAUUCGAUGAAUAAGGUUUGUAGUGCUUUGGUGAACCAACCUAUAGUGAAGAUGCAAGAGAGUAGCAAUUUCUUCUCCUGGCUAUAAACUACAGUGAGGGUGUGGUAAUGUUUUUGAACUAUAUCCUUUGCUUUGAUGACAAUGAGGGUAGUUGAUAGCUUCUUUUUCCUUGGAGGAAUGAAGAAAUCCUCUAAGAGAAAAAGAAGCGAGAAGAAAGUCAAAGAGAAGAUCACAGAGAGAGAGAGAGAGAGAGAGAGACUGGGAUUUUAGAAUAAAAGUUUUGUUGAUAUUAAUAUUUCAAUCCUAUAUUGGAAAGGCUUAAGAAUACUCUUUGGUGUUUGUAUGUCAGAUCAUAUCAUUCUUAUAGAUCCAUUUUGGAGUCCUAAUUGGAAAUAAAAGUUGGUCGAUCAGUGUCUCUGACAAGAAGCAGAGUCUACAUGAGGUGUGUGAUGUAAGAUUUGAUUUGGUUGAGUUUAGAUUUAGCCAAUAUUCUAAUUGAAUAAUGAUCAAUUUGAAUUUUUAUUUGUAGACUCCAAAGUGAUAUUACUGACUUAGUUGAUAAAGAUUUUAUACGUUGAUAUUUCAUGUCUAUCUGAUCCAACUUGCUUGAAUCUACCCGGCAACGUGCUUCAGGUGAGCUCUUAGUUUGUUAUUUGUAUAUUUUCUUAUUAAUUAAUUCAAAUUUAUAUCACUUAAUGUAAUCUAAAAUCAUUUAUUAUAUAAAUUUGUCAUAUUUUUCAUUUUUAUGUAGUUUACUUUAUAUUUACUUGAAUUUUUUUAAAAAUAUUUUUAUUUAUAUGUUAUUAAACCAAAUAAUUCUUACAACAGAACAACCAAUUAAAUACGUACAUGUGGUAAAAGUUGUAAUGAUAUCUAAAUAUUGAAGUUUCUUUUUUUUUUCCUGCCUGAGGAUAAGAAGAAUCUGAGUUGCAUCACACUAAAUAAAAAUAAUAAAAAAUAAACAUUAAAUCUCAUCAUUCCAUAUUUACACGGCACAUCACUGUGCACGCAUGGGAUACCAAAAUGAGCCACGGAAUGUGCUAAAAAGGGUCUCGAAGAAAAGCACAAGUCCAUGUCCGAAGCCACAUAAAUGAACAGUACCAAAACCCUAACAGCCAUGGCAGCUGCAUGCGUGUGCUCUCUCGGUCCGUAGUUACUGCUUGGAACCUAUCUAAGAUUCCUUGCUUGUUGCCGCAACUACGAGCGCUCAUCACUCGAUGCCAUCUUCUUCGUGGCUGGUAGUCAGAUAAGCCAACUGCUAGCCUUCAUCUUCUACCCCCGUCAUCACUUACCAUCAUCCUUUCGAGUGAGGUUACCAUGUCCAGCUCUCCUGAAGUGAUAUUCCUCACCCAAAAGUGGCAGAGAUAUGUGGGCAGAGGCGGCAGCAGCAGCUUUGGGAGGUACGUGGAUCAUGGUGCUCCGCUGUCUCGUGGCGACUUGGUCAUGGUUUCACCGGCGCUACAGGCCACAAGGAGGCGAACAAAGAUGGCAAGGCAAAAGCUAUUCCCUCUCCCUCCACCACCGUCCAAUGGCCACAGGCCUCCAUUAAGGGAGUACUCGAAGGUUUGUCUUCUUCCCGACGACUGCGUUAAAUUCAAGCUUGGCUGCUUCGAACUCCCAUCUCUUUCACACAAUAAUCCUCUUUGGAGUAAUUACCUAAUGCGACUGCAUCUAACAUGAAGGUUUGGGGAUCAGAUAACAAAGACCAAACAACAUGUAUAAUAAAUGCGAGAGUCUUUGGAGGUGGAA